AAUAAAUAUAAAAACAAACAACAACCAACUGUCUUUUCAUUUAAAAAUUGCGGCACAAACACUUUCAAAUUACUUCCACUUCAAAGUUUAAGCCGGCACUCAAUGGCGGUUACUGCACAAAUCAACCCGCUCUUUGCUGCAUCGUGCCUUUUAUAGGACAUUGAAAUUUCCACCAUUUUCCCCAACUUUCCACGACAUUUUUGAUAACAUACACAUCUAAGAACCAAUAUUACUUUGUUUACAUCUACAUUGACGAUACUACCCUCACUAAAUGGCCGACUAUCAGCGUUGAUAAAACCAGUACUGAAUUUUACACUGAACAAUAACCCAUUUCGCUUUGAUAUGGCAACGCUUGCCGUUUCCCCUUUCCAUUCAGUUUUUCGAUUCACAUGAUGCACAAGUGCAUCCAACAUGUUAAUACAAUUUCCUACGUCUUUUCUGGUAUUGGCCGCAGCGCAAUUCUUUUCCGGAUUUUAGUAAAGCGUUUGAUCGUCCCAAACACCAACUUUUACUAUAUAAACUAAAUCAGCUUCAGUAAUAUGUUAUUGUCGUGGAUAGCCUCCUAUUUAAUAGAUAGGACACAAUUAGUUUUAUUAGAAGGUUGUCAAUCUAAAUCUUUUAAAAUGUCAUCGGGUGUUCCACAAAGCAGUCAUCUGGGACCGGUCCUUUUUCUUUUAUAUAUGUAAACGAUUUGCCGACUUCAAUAAAACAUUCACAGUUAGUGUUACAGUAAAAUA
rnacentral:sRNA from 1 species